GAAAUGUGAUAAGUAAUGUGAAUUGCAGAAUUUAGUGAAUCAUCGAAUCUUUGAACGCAAAUUGCGCUAAUAGUAAUAUUAGCACACUUAUUUGAGUGUAGUAUUUAUUCUUCAUUUUAUUGUUUGGAUGAAAUAUCUUCAUCUUAAAUGGAAUAGAAAUUAUUAAAAAUUUUAAUCAUUGAAUUUUUAUUUUUCAAUUUUUUUUAUCAAGUAUUGAUCUACCUCAAAUUAAGUGAGAUUACCUGCUGAAUUUAA
rnacentral:misc_RNA from 1 species